CCCCUUUUCUUUUGCGGCGCACGCCCUAUAUGGGUCGGUGCCGGCUUGCCGGAUAUGAUGAUAAACUGCGCCGUUCAAUAGGCACAGCGGACCCGGGGGCGGUACCCGGCGGCUCCACCAUCACCCGUCCCUUCAUUGGGGCAACCCUGUUGUCGCAGGGGUGAUGACGGGGCCGAACUAGGAUCGACGUGUGUUGAAAAGCGGUGUUUUCAUUCGGGCUGAGUAACCCGUUCAAGGCUCAAAACUCACAAGUGCCAACGACAACGAAGCACUCGCUCUCGCCGCGUAAUUCUAGGACCUAACGGUCUGAAGUUACAAAGCUAAAGCGCGGUUGGACCCACCGGGCAACAGAAGGGAUACCAG
rnacentral:tmRNA from 2 species